CCAGGUUGAAUGAGGAUUACAAGUGCAUAGUUCAUAUGAUCAAAUCGUGAUUACUUGAAAAAAAAAAGUCUUUCGCUCCUAUCUGAUGACUUUU
rnacentral:snoRNA from 1 species